rnacentral:rRNA from 1 species
AUACAGAGGGUGCAAGCGUUAAUCGGAAUUACUGGGCGUAAAGCGCGCGUAGGCGGUUUGUUGAGUUGGAUGUGAAAGCCCCGGGCUUAACCUGGGAGGGUCAUUCAAAACUGGCAGACUAGAGUGUGGUAGAGGGUAGUGGAAUUCCUAGUGUAGCAGUGAAAUGCGUAGAGAUUAGGAGGAACACCAGUGGCGAAGGCGACUGCCUGGACCAACACUGACGCUGAGGUGCGAAAGCGUGGGUAGCGAACAGGAUUAGAAACCCUGGUAGUCC